UGGGACCUCAUUGUAGUUUUGAUUUGCAUUUCUCCAAUAGUUAAAUACAUUCAGCAUUUUUUCAUAUGUCUAUUGACCAUUUGUAUUUAUUCCUUGGAGAAAUAUCUGUUUAGGUCUUCUGCUCAUUUUUCAGUUGGGUUUUUGUUGUUGUUGUUGUUGUUGAGCUGUAUGAGCUAUUUGUAUAUUGUGGAGAUUAGGCCCUUUUCUGUUGCAUUAUUUGCAAGUAUUUUCUCCCAUUCUAUAGGUUGUCUUUUCAUUCUCUUUAUGGUUUCCUUUGCUGUACAAAAGUUUGUAAGUUUAAUUAGGUCUCAUUUGUUUCUUUUUCUUUUUAUUUCUAUUGCCUUGGGAGAGUGACCUAAGAAAAUAUUAUGAUUAUUUCAGAGAAUGUUUUACCUAUGAUCUCUUCUAAGAGUUUUAUGUGUCUUUCUUAUGCGUAAAUCUUUAAACUAUUUGGAGUUCAUUUUUGUGUAUGGUGAGAGGGUGUGAUCUAACUUCAUUGGCUUAUAUGUGUCUGUCCAACUUUCCCAAUACCACUUGCUGAAGAGACUGGUUUCCCCUGACUCAUGUAUAUUCUUCCCUCCUUUGUCAGAGAUUAGUUGACUGUACAUGUGUGGGUUUAUUUAUGAGCUCUCUGUUCUGUUCCAUUGAUCCAUAUAGCUGUUCUUGUACCAAUACCAUACCAUACAGAUUACUGUAGCUUUGUAGCACUGUCUAAAGUCUAGAAGGGUUAUGCCUCCUACUUUUUUUCUUUUUUCCUCAGGAUUGCUGUGACAAUUCUGUGUCUUCUGUUGUUCUAUAUAAAUUUUAGGAUUAUUUGAUCUAGUUCUGUGAAAAAUAUCAUGGGUAAUUUGAUAAGGAUCAUAUUAAAUCUCUAGGUUGCUUUGGGUAGUAUGGUCAUUUUAGCAAUAUUAAUUCUUACAAUCUAAGAGCAUAGGAUAUGCUUCCAUUUAUUUAAAUCAUAUUAAUUCCCUUUAUUAAUGUUUUAUAGUUCUCAUGGUAUAGGUCUUUCACUUCCUUGGUCAUGUUUAUACAUUAAGUAUUUUAUUUUUUCUGGUGUGUUUUUAAAAGGUAUUCUUUUUUUCAUAUUCCCUUUCUUAUAUUUCAUUGUUUAUUUAAAGAAAUGCUACUGAUUUCUAUAUGUUAAUCUUGUAUCCUGCUACCUUGCUGAAUCAGUUCUAGUAGUUUUUGUGUGGAGUCUUUAGGG
ensembl:lncRNA